CCUACGGGAGGCAGCAGUGAGGAAUAUUGGUCAAUGGACGAGAGUCUGAACCAGCCAAGUAGCGUGAAGGAUGACUGCCCUAUGGGUUGUAAACUUCUUUUAUAUGGGAGUAAAAUGUUCCACGUGUGGGACUUGUAGGUUCCAUAGGAAUAAGGAUCGGUGAACUCCGUGCCAGCAGCCGGGGUAAUACGGGGGAUCCGAGCGUUACCAGGUUUUUUUGGGUUUAAAGGGGGCGUAGGUGGAUUGUUAAGUCAGUUGUGAAAGUUUGCGGCUCAACCGUAAAAUUGCAGUUGAAACUGGUUGUCUUGAGUACAGUAGAGGUGGGCGGAAUUCGUGGUGUAGCGGUGAAAUGCUUAGAUAUCACGAAGAACUCCGAUUGCGAAGGCAGCUCACUGGACUGCAACUGACACUGAGGCUCGAAAGUGUGGGUAUCAAACAGGAUUAGAUACCCCGGUAGUC
rnacentral:rRNA from 1 species